rnacentral:rRNA from 1 species
CCUGGCGGAGGACGAACGCUGGCGGCGUGCCUAACACAUGCAAGUCGAGCGGGGACAUACGACGGACAGGAAGUUUUCGGAUGGAAUGGAAGAUGCAUGUUCUAGCGGCGGACGGGUGAGUAACGCGUGAGCAACCUGUCCCUUACAGGGGGAUAACACAGCGAAAGUUGUACUAAUACCGCAUAAGACCACGGUGAGACAUCUUACAGGGGUCAAAGGAGAAAUCCGGUAAGGGGUGGGCUCGCGUCCGAUUAGAUAGUUGGUGAGGUAACGGCCCACCAAGUCGACGAUCGGUAGCCGACCUGAGAGGGUGAUCGGCCACAUUGGGACUGAGACACGGCCCAAACUCCUACGGGAGGCAGCAGUGGGGAAUAUUGGGCAAUGGGGGGAACCCUGACCCAGCAACGCCGCGUGAGGGAAGAAGGUUUUCGGAUCGUAAACCUCUGUCCUUGGUGAAGAGAAAGAGACGGUAGCCAAGGAGGAAGCCCCGGCUAACUACGUGCCAGCAGCCGCGGUAAUACGUAGGGGGCGAGCGUUGUCCGGAAUGAUUGGGCGUAAAGGGCGCGUAGGCGGCCCGGUAAGUCUGAAGUGAAAGUCCUGGUUUUAAGUUGGGAAUUGCUUUGGAUACUGUCGGGCUUGAGUGCAGGAGAGGUAAGUGGAAUUCCCAGUGUAGCGGUGAAAUGCGUAGAGAUUGGGAGGAACACCAGUGGCGAAGGCGACUUACUGGACUGUAACUGACGCUGAGGCGCGAAAGUGUGGGGAGCAAACAGGAUUAGAUACCCUGGUAGUCCACACUGUAAACGA